UGGUCAGACCAAGGUCUCUCUGGAUCAUGAAGCCAAUUAGAGCUGCUCUCUGGAUCCGCUAUAAGGUCAUGCUUUUUUUUGGCCAAAUUCUUGGAUAUUUAGGGUGUUCUAGGGUUUCUGCGAUUUAGGGUGUUCUACGGUUUCUUUUGGAAAUCUUGUUUCAAUGUGACCAAAUUUGAUGUUCUCUCCCGUUUAGUUCGUGAGUUUAUUUCUUUUUCUCCUAAAACGGAUGAUUCGUGCUUGUAGAUUUACGGUGUUCUAGGGUUUUACGAUAUACCACGCGAAACUAUUAGCUCCAAACCGGCUUCCUUUUCUUCUUGUUAAUUACCUCUAUAUUCUUGUUUCAAUUUGACCAAAUUUUUAUGUUUUCUCACGUUUAGUUUGUGAAUUCGUAUUUUUUUUGUCAUAAAAUGGUCGUAGUUUUAAUGAGUAAAUGGUAUCUUCAAGUGAAUUUAUAGAACUUCUCUGUUUCGACUUUCAAAAAGAAGAGGUUUUCUUUCCCCCCUCGGAGAAAACAAGAUUUUUAAGCUCUUUAAUCCUAUAAAUAUUGACAUUUCUUUAUGCUGUAAUAUUCACAAUUCCUGAACUGACUCUUUUUAGAUUUGGAAUCUAGUUUUGGUCCAGAAUCAAUUGCUGGUUUAUAUCUCCUGCAAGGAGAUGCUUACUGUUAUUUGGUUGGGUAUGCAAUGGAUUAGCAUGGGCGUUCAGACAAUGACAUGGAGAUAGCUUCCAGGAAUGAGUCAUGGCGAUGCUGGAGAUGGCCGGGAGCCUGUUAUAGAGAAUGGUGGGACCACUGAUGCAACAAGGUAGCUAAUUACUGCUAAUAUAGACUAGAAUGGGGAUGAUCUUCCAAACCUCUGAAGCAGCUUAAGAUGUAUGAUGCAGGUACCUUCGGUUCUAUUAUAACCAAAGAUAGCAAAGUGAAGCAUGUCAGAAUUUCAUUCACUGAAACCAAUCACAAGGACAAAUUACGUCGCUGGUAUCCAACUCAGAUACUGUGUCGACAGAUUUCUACAUAUUAAGUGACUUAUACUUGAACGCAACCAUGAGGUUACUCCAGGAAUAGACAUAACUAUCCUUCCAAGAGAGGAAAGCAUUUUCAUGAGAAUAUUGGUUUAGCAGGGAUAUUAAUGGAUGAGUCAAUUUCAUGAAGGAUGAUUUGGUAGGUUAUGCAAGUGUGGAACUGGGCAGAGGAAAUAUGAUUUGUAUCUUGAAAAAAGGAGAUAAUGACAUUAUACAGCAACUAUUCAAUAGCACUCAAAGCAAGAACACCUACCUUUUUUCAUUUCAUGGACCUGGACCAAGGACAGCUGAUGAAUGUGUUUUGUGCUGAUGACAGGUGAAGGACUGAAUAUCAGUAUUUUGGUGAUGUUGUUCUAGUAGAUACUACUUACUUGAUUGGUUGGUAUGGCUUUCUUUUUGUUGACUUCAUUGGGGGUAAACCAUCAUGGUCAGAAGGUGUUGCACAGUUGUGGUUUGCUUUUGGAUUGAUCUAGUGAGACAUGUUUGGCUAAAUAGAGGUUGUCUGUCUUGUGUGUUUGGUCAUCCUCUGGGUGCUGUAAUUACUGAGAGAUGAAAUGCCAUGCAAGAAGCAGUUGCAACAGCAUUUCAAAAAGUCCGUUGUCAUCUAUGACUCUAGCAUAUUUGAAAAGAAUUCUGGAAAAUCUGCAAGGACUUCCAGACUUCAAAGAUAUCAAGAUGUCUUUAAAGUGGUAUGUAACUCGGAGUCGAUGAAUUUGAAAAAGAGUGGAGAAAAAUGGUCGAGAAAUAUGGACUUGAAGAUAAUGAAUAGUUUAAAUUGUUGUUUGAGGAAGUCGAGUCAGAUGUUGAAUUUCUGUAUAAGAGCCCUCAUUUAACAUUACAAAUUCAUGUGAAGAAGCAUUAUGCAAAUUCUACGUAAUUGACAUUUUCAAAAAAACUCAAGCUUAUAUGGAAGCUUUAACAUACUGCAUCUCUUCACUAGUUAUAAUCUAUGAUCAAAUGUCUACUUUCAAAGCAAAAAAGAAAGCAUGAGUGAAGGAUCAUAAAACAACUGAGUGAAUGUUCUAUGAAGUAAAUAUAAAUCACAAUGAAUUGGAGGUGCAAUGCGUUUGUUGCACUUUUCAAUGCUGAGGAAUUUUGUGUAGAUAUGCAAUUUCAGUUCUUAAUUUUCAAGAUGUCUUUGGGAUGCCACCUAGUUAUAUUUUUGAGUGGUGAAGGGAAUUCGAGCAUUUGCAUGCUUUGGCUUGCUUCCUUGAUGGGGUUGUCUCUGGGGCUUUUGGAUUGUCAUGGAAGUUCCUUUAUAAUCAAGGGAGUUUUGGCUGUCCAAUUGGCAUGGGGUGCUUGAUCUGACGUGGUCCUUUUGAGUUUUGCCUUUAAGCCAGAUAACCUCCCUGUUGGAACAAGGGAUAUGUUGAAGGCACUCCCAAAGUCUUGAGUAUCAGAUAAGAAAGGGACACUAGGAAUAGGCCUGAUGGUUUUUGCCAAUGCCCAAGUCUGAGUCGAAGAAAGGCAGGGAGCUAUUUGUGCCAGGAGAAAGGAUGUAAUUGGCGAUGAAUGCGUAUAUGGUGCCGAAUCAGAGAAAUGUGUGGUGCCAGUUAGUGAACCUCAUGGAGGAGAAAAAAUGCCAGAUCAGGCUACUGAACAUCAGAGUCAAACAAUUAAUAUGAUAGCAAAGUUGGAAGCCUUCUGUGGGUCAUGAACAACAUUUUUGUGAACAGGGCAAAAGAAAGAAAAGGACCCACGACAUCACUAUCAUUGGAGAAAUGUUCUAGUUUGAAUCUGAUAAGAACAUUGCAACAAUAUCUUAUAUGUUCGUGCGUUUGGCUCAUGAUAUGCAUUCCUUUUCAAUAUAUAUUGUGCACUUUCCUAUACACGAAAGAACAUUAUGUUCAGGCAACUUUGAAGGUACUUCUCAAGAGACAAACUCUCAUUUGCUCAAGACGAUGGAGUUGCUUGACAACCAGAUUCCAGCUGCCGCCUAUCCGCCCUACCGAUGAACCUUGGAUUUUUCUUAGGGCCUCCAAGACCUUCUGGUAUGUCUUGCACAUGCAUGGAACCGACAGAUUCAAAACACUCUGUCUAUGUUUGAGUCGGCUGGAAUUAUAAGGACAUGAUCUGUGUGAAGGGAUGUAUAAAUUAUUAAAUGCACUAUCGCAUGGCGUCUUCAAAUAUAUGGACUCAGAAGCAUUAGCAUAAAGUUGAAGUUCCAAAAUUUGUCUCCCUAUGAUGUUAGGAAGAAGCAUAUCCUGAAAACAAUGCCCACUUUGGCAUCCUGGUGUUUGCAAAGAGGACUUGGUAUUCAUUCAAUCAACAUAUCUUUCAGGGGGCUCAGGAGCAUCAACAAUACCCCAAAUUCUCAUGUCUUUUUGGAGAUUGUCCCCAAAGAUCUCGGAGAAGUCUAUGUCUAGAGGGUGUUUUGUGCAGGACUCCUCAAUCACUGAAGCCAUCACUGGGUCACAAUCUUCAGGUCCUAAGAAAUAGCUGGUUGAAUUCUCAAAUUCUGGACAUAUAACCUUUUCUUGGCUCUUACUGCUCCCAUCUUCAUCUUUGUCUGAAUGCAUGAUCUUCUUCGAUCCAACUGGGCAAGCUUUUACCUUCUUCCUUAGGACUGUGUUCCAGUAAUUCUUGAUUUCAUUGUCUGUUCGACCGGGUAGUCUUCCAGCUAUGAGAGACCACCUUCAAGUUGUACAUGAGGAAAUAUUAGCAAGGAAUCAUUUCCGUAAUUGUCUGCAAGGAGAUUAGCUGACCUAUUCCCCAGGAGAUUAUGAAGCCUGAUGAUGAGGUCUUCUUCUUCAUGAGAUAUGUUUCCCCUCUUGAUAUCUGGGCGCAGAUAAUUCAGCCAACGGAGCCUGCAGCUCCUCGGGCAUCGAUUCAGGCCUAGAACAACACCAAAUUUGGAUCAUGAAGUGAAUGCGAUUCAUAGAGUAUGAGAAGAAAUCCAGGAUGACAAGCUACAUUCUAUGCAAUUGGAAGAGGAGAGAAGAGAAAGUCCUCUAAUUAACUACAUGCUGCAGAUGGAAAGCAUUAAGAACCACCAAUGCUAGUCAAGAACUUGCUCGAACCUGCACUUUUGGGAAGCUUUCCCCACCUCCCUUCUCCAUGAGCUUUGACGUAGUCUGUGAGGAUCUUGUCUUCAGUAGCACUCCAAGACCCCUUAUUAAAGCUCUUCUUACAGCAGCUUGGGUUUCCACGCAUGUUUGAAGAGGAAUUGUGUGAGCUGAAUGCUUCUGCCUGUGGUUGCAGUCUCAAGUGGACAGUCUCUCUUAUAUGACAGAAUGCAAGUACAGGUCACUGAAGAGUUGAGAGGGACUUUGGUGGUGGUUUGGUGGCGAUAGGAGCCCCGUGGCCAUUUGCAUGAUGUGGAUCUGGCGGCUGCACCAGAACAAGAGCACCAUUGGAGGCUUGUUGCAUGGGUUCAAUAGAAUAAUCAUCAACUUCAUCAGCAUCAGGAAAAAGGCUGGUUGCAAUGAGUGUAAGGUCACCAUUAUGCACCAUAUGAUGGCAUGAUCACGGUCCCCAUGUGCCUAGACUUGCUGCACCUGCCAUUCUCACUGGCCCUUCAAAGCUUAUCUCACCGUGCCAUCGUCGCCUCUGUAAGUGGUGGCUGACUUCCACUCACCGUGCAUUCAGACAAGCACGCAAAUCUGAAGUGGAGUUACAUAGUACUGCUGCUAUGGAAGCUUUCAGAGUUUUGAUUAGCCAAAUCUGUUCUGCCUCUUAUUAAGUACACAGCUGCUGGCUCAUUGGCAAUUCAAGUCAGACACAUCCAAUGUGAUGUGGAAGUCGCAUGUUGUGAAACACUCGAGCCCCACACUUGUACCGAUCAUCAACUGACCAAAAUACGAGCAUGGGGUUCUUUCUUUUCACGUUUUGCAGCUGAAAGAAUGCUGAGAUUAUAGCCAUUACUUGUGUGGCUAUGGGGAUAGCUUAUCGAAGAGAUUUAUAAUCAAAGACAUCAGUUUGUUGCUAAAAUAGGUAAGAGCAAAAUGAUGCUGUUAAAUUAUGAAGCCAGCAAGAUUCUGAUGUACCCAUGACGAGGAGGAUGAGAUGUGCUUCUCCUGUUUGUGCCAUCCACUUCUGAUAAUAAUAGGACUCAUGAUGACAACAGGCAACCUUUUGGAAUACAACAGGUAGAAUUUUCAUGAUUGCUACUCAAGUAGCAUUAACUUGUAUUCCUUGAAGUUUCAAUGUUUCUGAUGUUUUAUGUAUGCUUCCCAGCAGUAACCAAAAUCAUGUGAAUUUUGAUUCACCAUUUCGUAGACUGUAUAAACACAACAUGGUAAAUUGUAUGUGACUGUCUCUCUUGCUACUUCAAA